rnacentral:rRNA from 1 species
GGAGGGUGCAAGCGUUGUUCGGAAUUAUUGGGCGUAAAGAGCGUGUAGGCGGUUAGGAAAGUCAGAUGUGAAAGCCCUGGGCUCAACCCAGGAAGUGCAUUCGAAACUUCCUAACUUGAGUACGGGAGAGGAGGGGGGAAUUCCCGGUGUAGAGGUGAAAUUCGUAGAUAUCGGGAGGAAUACCGGUGGCGAAGGCGCCCCUCUGGACUGAUACUGACGCUGAGACGCGAAAGCGUGGGGAGCAAACAGGAUUAGAUACCCUGGGUAGUCCACGCCGUAAACGAUGAGCACUAGGUGUAGCGGGUAUUGACCCCCCUGCUGUGCCGUAGCUAACGCAUUAAGUGCUCCGCCUGGGGAUUACGGUCGCAAGACUA